ensembl:lncRNA
GUUCAUCCAACAGAGAGAACUGAAGAAACAUAAACCUGCAUCUCGUGACCUGCUGAACACAAACACACACUCCAGUCUUUUACUGCAGAUAUAAAUCCACACUCACACACAGCAGGGGCAGAAGAGGCUGAGACACAGGAGAGACGAGAGUGAGACACAGAAGGUUUCAGAUCAGAUCUCUGAAGCGGGAGGGGCAAGUUUUAACAUUAGAUUUAGCAUUAAAGCAGAGAGUGAACUCUGACCCCGCCGAGCUGCUGCUGGUGUUGAUGAAGAUGAAGAUGAAGAUGAUGUUGCUCUUCCUGUCUGUCCUGCUCUUCCUCUCUCAGUUCUCUGCCACUUUUCCUCUUAAAGGCUGCGUGUGUGAGCCUGUGGAGAACGCCGUCAACACCACACGACUCAUUAACACGCUGUGGAUCAUCAGGAACAAACCCACGUCCCCGGUAAAUCUGACAUGUGUCUGUUUGUGUGAGUGUCGGCGUGUCGUUCAGCUCAACAUCAACGAUUCAGCGAUUGAGGUGAAGGAGAGCGAGCGAGAGAUGCUGGAGGACGAGUGUGUGAAGCUGGUGAAGGAUCUCAGCACGAAGAAGGAAUCAGGAGACUUGUCUGUGUUGUCUGUUGCGACUCCGCUCGUAGGAGCUUCGGUCUUCAUCACUCUUCUUCUGCUCAGCUUCGCAAUGUUUAAAAGACAAGAGUCUCAGGCUGGAGGUGUUUUAGGCUCUCUUAUUCAUUAUCCAGCUCACUCUCUGGAGAGGACGACGAAUCCGGGAGCAUUUCUACCUCCAGAGACUAAAUUCCCCACUGACACGGUGAAGAUCAUUUACAGAGUGUCCAGAUGAGAGCUCGUCUUGUAGAAGGAAAGGAUUUUUACUGCAACACACACACACACAUACACACACACACACAUACACACAUACACACACACACAUACACACAUACACACAUACACACACACACACACACACACACACACACACUUCUUACAAGUGGCUCAAGAAUACACGGUGGUGUGUAACACUUUCUUGCUGCACUGAAAGUCGUACAGGACUCAAAACAGCUGAAAUGCAAACUGAGACUUCAUCAGUGUUUUUUACUAAGGCUCCAUCCCAGACAGACUCUGCUCUAACGAAACUUAUUUAGAACUGCAAGGGUCUUUGCUUCUUUUCUUUGUAGGGAAAAACUCUCUAUUUCUUAUCUUUUUCAUCAAUAAGUUGAAGUUGAACUUUUCAGACUUGCAGUGUUUAUUUGUCUUGUUAGCCAUACCGUGGUACAUCAGUAUAAUGCAUUUAUUACUUUUUCCCCUCUCUCAGACUCUCUGAUUGCCACAAAUGUACACAACAUGAUGUAAUGUCCUGCACUUGUAAGAUAAGAUCGGUGAAUCAUUAAAGCACAAAGAAGGCUUUAUAAACAUUAUAAGCAUGAAUGAAUGCUAAACUAUACUCUGUCUGUUUUGAUUCUGUUAAAAAUUAAUGCUAAUAAUACACAUCAUUCACUGUUUUUUUUCCUUGUUCAAAUUAUUUCAAAUGUAUUUUUUAUUUCCGUUUAAAACAAGUCUACACUAUAAUAUACUUAAUAUUUCUAAUAAAGCACUUUUCGAAAGAAACACUCAGAAUUUUUUUUUUAAACGAGUUAAUUUGGAGUAUUUCCAUAUUUAUUUGCAUAUUUUUGUAUUUUUACGACACUUGAAACAACACAGACUGAAAUCGAUGUCGAGUUCGAUGAUCAAUGAGGAACUGGUUUCUGUUCAACCCGGAAGAAUUAUCGGUUGCACAAUAUUACACAAGAUAAAAAAAAAUAUUGUUCUUUAAUGUGUACACUUUCCCCCCCGAUAAGUUGAAAAGUACAAAAUAAAC